rnacentral:rRNA from 1 species
UACGUAGGGGCCGAGCGUUGUCCGGAGUUAUUGGGCGUAAAGCGCGCGCAGGCAGCCUCGCGCGCCCGACGUGAAAGCCCCCGGCUUAACCGGGGAGGGUCGUUGGGGACGGCGGGGCUUGAGGGCGGGAGAGGGUGGUGGAAUUCCCGGUGUAGUGGUGAAAUGCGUAGAGAUCGGGAGGAACACCCGUGGCGAAGGCGGCCACCUGGGCCGACCCUGACGCUGAGGCGCGAAGGCGUGGGGAGCGAACGGG